rnacentral:rRNA from 1 species
GGGGGGGGGGGGGGGGGGGGUUGGCGGGUGGGGGUGGGGGGGGGGGGGGCUGAUGUUGGGGGGGGCUCGAGUGGAGAACGGGUGGGUGACGCGUGAGUGGCCUGCCCUUGGCUUUGGGAUCACUUCCGGAGAGUGGGGAUGAUAACGGAUAGGCGCUCGUGCUGCAUGGUGUGUGAUAGAAAGUUUCGGCUGUUGGGGAUGAACUAGCGGCUUAUCAGCUUGGUGGUGUGGUAGUGGCUUACCAAGGCUUUGACGGGUAGCCGGCCUGAGAGGGUUACUGGCCACAGUGGGACUGAGAUACGGCCCAGACUCCUACGUGAGGCCGCAGUGGGGAAUAUGGCACAAUGGGCGGAAGCCUGACGCAGCAACGCCGCGUGCGGGAUGACGGCCUGCGGUUUGUAAACCGCUUUCGCCGGUGACGAAGCGUGAGUGACGGUAAUGGGUAAAGAAGCACCGGCUAACUACGUG